rnacentral:siRNA from 1 species
GAAGGUCCUAAAGGGCGACCUUA